AAAGGUCAAAAUGCAGGGUCCUGAAGAACUAAUCCUUUCAAGCAGCCGUACCAUCAUAAUGAAGAAGAAUUCCUCAUGUGAAAAAUGCAGAAGUGGACCUUGGAAGUUAAGGGAAUGAGACAGUGGAUUAGAGUGUCAAUCUCAGAAAUAACCACGAGAAAAGAAUUUAAGACAGAAGUGCCUUCCCUCCACCCCAUCCCUCCAUGCAACAAAAAACAAAUUAACUGAUUCUCGGUGUGUUAUCAU